ensembl:lncRNA
AUUGUUUAUUAAUUAUAAAACGAACAGAACAAAAUUAAAAAAAUAUAUUUUAUUUUUUAAUAAUUUUAGUACAAUUAAUAAAAACAUUAAUGAAAAACAUACAGCUGGCCAUAAUAAUAAAAAUAAUUUUGAUAUAUUAUGGAAAGGAAUAAUAAGAAAUGAUUAUGUAAGCAGAAUAACACAAAUUUUUAAAGAUGGGGAAAGAGGGCAAAAUGGGGAAAAUGGAAAAAAAGCAGAAACCGGAAUAAAGAAUGAUAAUAAUGACGGUGUGGAAAAAGCGGACAGGAGUAGUAGAAUAAAUGGAUGGCACGGGGACAGAUGGUGCUACUUCGUGCUAGGUGCUAGUGGAGUAGGUAAGAAAUUUUUUAUAAAUAAAUCAAAAGAAAAAUUUUUGAAAGAUAUAGAAUUAGAUGAAACAAAAAAUAUACAAGUAAUGGCGGGUAGAAAUAAAUCACACGUGGUUAAUUCUAAAGUUACUCGUCUUUCUUCUUAUUCUAUCUCUCCCCCCCCAAAAAAAAAAAAAAAAUAUAUAUUUUUUGAAUAUGAUUUUAAAGCUAACAAUAACAGCGAAGUUAUUCCAUUUCAUGUAAAACUACAUAGUUUGGAAGAAUAUCUACGAUUUAAACUAUUAAAGGAAUUGAAUAAUGAUAUAAUACAUGAAGAUAUUGAUUUAAAAUAUAUUUACGAAAAUUAUAUUACGAUAGAUAAUGACACUUAUUUGUUAAAGUAUAAAAAUUUUUUUAAAUACAUUUCAGAAAAUAAUAAUAAUAUGUAUGAUUAUUUUAAUAAAGAAGAAAGAAAAGAAAUUGGAAAUUAUAUUAAUUUGUUAAAUGAAAAACAAUAUUAUUUUGAACACUGGCAAGCGUUUUUACAACUUCUUUUAAAAAAACUGAAUAGUAAAUGUUUUUGUAAUUAUUUAAAUGAAUUCAGUGCAUUUUUAUAUUUUUUUAAAUUAUUAGCACAAUAUGAAGAACAUAUUUAUUAUUAUAAAGGAUCUGAUAAUAUACUAACAAAUUAUGUGAAUGGUUUAUAUAUAUAUAACUAUUUUUUCUCUAUUUUAAAUUUUUUAAAAAACAAGUAUAACUACCAUUUUUUUUUUAUUUUUUAUAAUUUGCAUAUAUUUUUAUUAAGUACUACACCUGCACGUAACCUCCACUUUGUUAUGAAUAUGUUGAGUGAAAAUAUACAAAAUUAUCACAUACCGAUUAUAUUCCAUUCAAUUAAGAGUAUCGAAAUGAUGAAAACUUUAUUUUUGUAUAAUAAUUUGUCCAUUCAGUUGAUGGGAUUAGACGAGCAGGUAUGCAAUGGCAGUAGUAGUAGUAGCAGUAGUAGCAGUAGUAGCAGUAGUAGUAGUAGUAGCAGUAGUAGCAGUAGUAGCAGUAGUAGUAGUACUAGCAGUAGUAUUAGUAGUAGUAGUAAAGGUAAUAACAGCAGUAGAGCCUUUAGUCAUAACAUAACAAAAGGUUUAUACGACAAAAACAUAUUAAAAACAGACGUGCGAAACUACGAACUUAUAAAAGCUAACCUAAUCGAAAUUGAAGAACUUUCAUACGACAUGGUUAAAAGUUUAAUGAUUCCAUUUUUUAUCGAAAAUGAAGAGAUAUGUAAAUGUAUAUAUAGCAUAGUUGGUGGUAAUGCAAAGUUAAUAAAAGUAAUAUGCAAAGGGUUAAACGAAUUAAAUAAUGAAUUAAAUGAAACUACAAUAUUAAAAAAUAUCGAAAAAGACAACAAAAGACAAAAUAUAACAUAUGACAUGGAUGAAAUUGAAAUUGAUGAAAAAUUUAAAGAGACAUGUGCAAACAAAACACCAGAGGAAAAAAUAAUUUAUUUUAAAAAAUUAGAAAAGCAAAAACAGUUUUUAAAAAAUAUUCACGAAAAUUUAUUAAAUAAUUUUAUUUUAGAUUUUGAAAAAAAAAUAAUAAAUUUUUUUAGUUUGCCAAUUAUCGAGCAAAUGAAGCUAAUAGAAGACCCAAAACAAAACGAAAUGGACACAAAACAUAUUAUUAACAGACAAAAAUGUGAUAAAGGUGAUACCAAAAUAAAAAAAUUAAGUUAUAUCGAAUUUCUAGUAACAAUUUUUGAAGUUAUUAGAUAUUUUUUAAAAAAAAAAAAAGUGUUUUGUAAAAACAUUUUGAACUUAAACAAUCCUAUACUUCUUGGACUAAUCGAUGUCAAUAUAAUACAUUAUAAUUACGCUAAUAAAUAUUUGGAGUUAAGUGUUACUUUUUAUGAAGUUCUUUUAUUAAAUUAUAUAAAUUUUAAGUAUAAACAGCUUCCCAUGAAACAUAAAGCACAGUAUAAUAUUAACUACGU